GUCCACGCCGUAAACGAUGGAUGCUAGCCGUUGGUAAGCAUGCUUAUCAGUGGCGCAGCUAACGCAUUAAGCGUCCCGCCUGGGGAGUACGGCCGCAAGGUUGAAACUCAAAGGAAUUGACGGGGGCCCGCACAAGCGGUGGAGCAUGUGGUUUAAUUCGACGCAACGCGCAGAACCUUACCAGGGUUUGACAUCCCGCGCUAAACCCAGAGAUGGGGUGGUCCCCGCAAGGGGCGCGGAGACAGGUGCUGCAUGGCUGUCGU
rnacentral:rRNA from 1 species